GGGGCCGUGGUCUAGCUUCCGAAACAGAUCCAACUGUUCUGGCUAGAAUGGUAUGAACCUUUCUCAAAAGGAGAAUCGGUAUAAUCCCUGCCUUCCUCGCAGGUGUUCCUGGGUUCAAGUCCCAGCGGCCCCACCA
rnacentral:tRNA from 1 species